rnacentral:ncRNA from 4 species
UGUGGGAGCGAGCUUGCUCGCGAUAGCGCCGGAUCAGCCAACCUUGAUGUUGACUGAUGCACCGCCAUCGCGAGCAAGCUCGCUCCCACA